CCUACGGGUGGCUGCAGUGGGGAAUAUUGGACAAUGGGGGCAACCCUGAUCCAGCCAUGCCGCGUGUGUGAAGAAGGCCCUCGGGUUGUAAAGCACUUUCAGUGAGGAAGAACGCCUGGUGGUUAAUACACAUCAGGAAAGACAUCACUCACAGAAGAAGCACCGGCUAACUCCGUGCCAGCAGCCGCGGUAAUACGGAGGGUGCGAGCGUUAAUCGGAAUUACUGGGCGUAAAGCGCGCGUAGGUGGCUUGAUAAGCCGGUUGUGAAAGCCCCGGGCUCAACCUGGGAACGGCCUCCGGAACUGUCAAGCUAGAGUGCAGGAGAGGAAGGUGGAAUUCCCGGUGUAGCGGUGAAAUGCGUAGAGAUCGGGAGGAACACCAGUGGCGAAGGCGGCCUUCUGGACUGACACUGACGCUGAGGUGCGAAAGCGUGGGUAGCAAACAGGAUUAGAUACCCUUGUAGUC
rnacentral:rRNA from 1 species